rnacentral:rRNA from 1 species
CCCUUAGAUGUUCUGGGCUGCACGCGCGCUACACUGAAGCGUUCAACGAGUAUUCACCUUGCCCGGGAGGGUUGGGUAAUCUUUUGAAAACGCUUCGUGAUGGGGAUAGAUUAUUGCAAUUAUUAAUCUUCAACGAGGAAUUCCUAGUAAGCGCGAGUCAUCAGCUCGUGCUGAUUACGUCCCUGCCCUUUGUACACACCGCCCGUCGCUGCUACCGAUUGAGUGUCCUGGUGAAUUAUUCGGACCGACAGCAUCGGAAGUUUCUUCUGUUGCCGUUGGAAAGUCUUGUAAACCCUGACACUUAGAGGAAGCAGAAGUCGUAACA